GCUAUAUCUGUUCUUAGUUAUGCAUUUUUUGAACGGAGCAUUCUUAUCUAAAAUGUUGAGGAAGUUACUUUUAAAGAAUGACCAGGCAUCCUCAACUGACGGGAUAAGGUCAAUGUCCUUCCAGGAUACCCGGGCCAGGUCGAUUAGAAAGGCCUGCUCACAGAAGUGUUUUAGGGAGCGUUUGACAGUGAUGAGGGGUGGUCGUUUGACUGCGGCUCCGUAGCGGAUACAGGCAAUGAGGCAGUGAUCGCUGAGAUCCUGGUUGAAGACAGCGGAGGUGUAUUUGGAGGGCCAGUUGGUCAGGAUGACGUCUAUGAGGGAGCCCUUGUUUACAGAUUUAGGGUUGUACCUGGUGGGUUCCUUGAUGAUUUGUGUGAGAUUGAGGGUAUCUAGCUUAGAUUGUAGGACUGCCGGGGUGUUAAGCAUAUCCCAGUCACCUAACAGAACAGACUCUGAAGCUAGAUGGGGGGCGAUCAAUUCACAAAUGGUGAAUUGUGUAUGAGAAGUAUCCUCACGGUACACCUGUUUAAUCUGGUCUGCCUCUGUUACCUGGGCAGCCAUGGUGGUCAAAUUCGAGAUUUCUGUUGGAUUAAAGUUACACACAUGAUGUAACUGAUUUAAUGACAGCCCUAUAGAUGUAAUGUAUGAUGUACGUUCACUCUAACUAUUUUAGCAUAGGGAGUAUUGAAUUACCAAGAUAGCUAGCUAUAUAUGACACUUGCCCAAGCAUUCAUAGCAGCUGCAUAGUUGAAGGCUUUUUGUAGUGUUAGCAAGCAAGGUCAGUAUGCAGCUAAAAGCUCCCAAGCUGAUUUGGUAAGGUUCACAGGCUAACUAUAUAGCCCAGCAGAUCCAGUUAAGCCUUUGAAAACACGACAUACAUUUAGAUAUCAAAUUGUGUGCACAAAAUGCAUGAACAAUCCCCUUUUCUUGAACACAGCAACGAAGUCAUUCACCCACCCAGGUUCCCGAAGUACAUGUUGUGAAAAGGGGACUGCAGUGGAUGAGGCUUGAAAGGUAACGUUACAGAAAAUUCUAGAAUCAUUAGACAUUGUUUUAAAAACAUUUAUAGAAUAAUGUUACAUAUUUUAUACGUUCGUGUGGAUAUGUAUGACAUUCAAAAUCGAAAAAUAAUUUGUCGAAAAUAACUCCGGUGUGACACGAAGUAGUGUCCCAGUACCUCAUUUUAGUGUUUAUCGCUUUUCAAAAUCGAAAAAUAAUUUGUCGAAAAGAACUGACAUUUCUAAUUGUGGAUAUAGUGUUACUGCAUAAAAACUCCGAUGUGACACGAAGUAGUGUCUCAGUACCUUAUUUUAGUGUUUAUCGCUGGAUUAACUUUCUCACCCGUGGUUGUUUAUUAUUUUGUUGUUUAAUGCUUAUUUGUUUUUUUUGGGUUAAAGUUCUGACCCGUGGAGUCCCUAUCAUGCACAGCAGAUGGAGAUAUUUCACGAACGAUAUCAUGUCCUUGACCGGAAGUUACUGUUGUAAGCAACAGCUGCUGUGUUUUCAUAUUGGCUCAUAGUAGCUAACAGUAGAAGCUAUGUUAUAUUUCUCGAUUCUGACUAAAGGUUGUAUUCAUUUCCCAACGAUUGUUUAAAAUAGCACAGGUCUAGCAACUUCUUACUUGGUUUGCUGUGCUGUUCUUUCAACCUUUUAGAGGUGCCUACUAGCUAGCAACCUAACCUCAACCAACAAUUAUGUUUCGGGAAGUAAAACAUGUUAAUAUAAAAUCAAAUUGUAUUUGUCACGUGCCGAAUACAACUGUUACGGACUAAAAGGGGAACCUAGACGCGAGCCUACCAGACUAGCUAAAUGGAGCACCAGCUGUUCUGGAUGACUGUGUGAUAACGCUCUCUGCAGUUGAUGUUGGUGUAUUCCUCAAUGCCAUUGGAUGAAUCCCGGAAUAAAUUCCAGUCCUGUAGUGUAUCAUCUGACCACUUCCGUUUUGAGCGAGUCACUGGUACCUCCUGCUUUAGUUUUUGCUUGUAAACAGGAAUCAUGGUAUAAUUAUUGUCAGAUUAGCGAGGGAGAGCUCUGUGGAGUAAAAGUGGUCUGGAGAUUUGUUCGCUUCCGGUUGCACAUGUGACAUGCUGGUAGAAAUUAGGUAAAACGGAUGUAAAUUUGCCAGCAUUAAAGUCCCCGGCCACUAGGAGCGCCGUUUCUGGGUGAGCAUUUUCUGGUUUGAUUUUGGCCUUAUUCAGCUCUUUGAGUGCAGUCUUAGUACCAGCAAGUUGCAGAGAACGACUGCAUUGUUUGCUUAUCUAGCUAUCUAACAACUUGCAAGGCAAGUAUGUUCAUAUUACCCACCUUGAUGCAGCAGACUCUCCCACUGUGGUUCCAGCAACAGCUUUUCCAGAACCUUCCAGGCAGUGGAGGGGUGGAGGGAGUAUAAGACCCCAGCUCCUCGCAGGUUAAACCCAAAGCCCACACUCUGGAACACCACUAAACUCCGGAACACCCAGAACACUACACAGCUGCACAGCUCCAGGACACAGAAUACAUUUCACACAGCGCAAGGAAACUUCUGGAGGCCAUCCCUAACAACAGCAGCAGCUUGGCAGCCAGAGGUGUGCAGCAGCAGUUUUCUUAGGGUUGCCAUAGCAACACCCACCGAUGGCAACCUGCAAACAGUGCAGUCCAGCUCGUCACCAAGCUUAGGACCCAGGGUGGGACUGAACACCUCCCACUGCAACUGGAUAAUGGGCUUCCUGACGGGACAACCCCAAGUGCUCAGAAGGAUCCCCAUGGCAACGGCAGCAGCAUUUGUCAGCUUCAUCAGAGAGUGAGAAGAGAAGCGAGAUGGGGAGAGAGACAUCAGCACAGUUGGUAUGUGAGCGGCUCAGUGUAUGCGUGAGGGGCCAUGGGGAUAUCACAGGAUCCUUUCAGGAUGGAGGCAGGCGGGAUCUAUUAACCUCCUCUGCUUUGUUUUGUGUAAAGCUAUGUAUUUGGUUGUUUUAAAGUCUUCUGAGGUCUGAGGCAGAAUUUGUAAAUCGUUUUAAUUGUUGCGAUGUUGAGUUCUGCCUGUGAUAUAGUUCUGCCUGUGAUAUUUAUAGUACUGACCUUCCACUUACAUAGAUGGAUUUACGUUAUUGGGUAGUUUGGCUAGUUGAUGUGGCAUAGAUUUGUAAUAAGCUUAUGUUUGAAUUGUAUCCAUAUGUGUAAACCUAAGAGAGAAGGCACUGUUUUGCCAUUUGCUUUUAGGAUCAUUCAGACCUUUUUUUUUUUUUUUUUUUACUGAGUUUGCGCUCCACACUUAAAUCAAGCAAAACUAUUGGUGUUGGAAUUGUAUUGAACCGCGCCUGGCACGCAGGCCCAGUGUUGGAAUAAAUGGCACAAACCCUUUUUCUUCCCAUGCCACACCUUUUUCUGUCUUAUUUUGUUG
ensembl:lncRNA